UGUUGUAACCUUCUUUGGCCGGGUUGCAAUACUAAUAGACCAGAAUACACAGGCAUUCCACAUGUUCAUUACUGCUCUUCUUCAAGUGCUUUAAUUUCCUUGUGUCCCCAUUUGAUUAUUUGCAAGAUAAAAUUGUUGAGUCUGGUCGUUAUAAUUUGAUAGGUAUGUUUAAUUAAAUAACUCGUGGAGUUAUCAUGUGCAGUUAUUGGAUCGAUCGGGAUUUCUAUAUGGAGAGCUUGCUAGAUUUGUGUUGAGACUACUGCGAAUUAGAACAAAGCCUAAAAAGGUUCGGCCACUCCUGAUGAUGGUUUAUGAGACAGAUUUAUGCCACUGAGACUCAAGGAGAGAAUUUGCUUUCCCUUCAUUUGUGAAGCAAAUCAUACCAUAAUAGAAAGCUAUUGUGAUGAUGAGAGAAUGGUGCUCUCUUCACACAGGCAAAGCAUUGAUGUCGAUUAAGGCGUCGUUUAGCAACAUAGCAAAUGUGUUGCUGGACUGGGAUGUUGUUCACAACGAUGAUUUCUAUUCAUGGCGUGGCGUCUUCUGUGACAAUGUCACCCUAUCUAUUGUUUCUCUGAAUUUGUCAAAUUUGAACUUGGGUGGGGAGAUUUCACCAGCCAUUAGAGACCUGAAGAAUUUACAGUCCAUGGAUUUUCAGGGGAACAAAUUAACUGGUUAAAUUCCUGAUGAGAUAGGCAACUGUGUUUCUCUGAUGCUGGUGGAUUUAUCUGAUAAUUUACUGUAUGGAGAUAUACCAAUCUCAAUAUCCAAGCUUAAGCAGCUUGAAUUAUUGUAAGUUAAUACCUGAAGUGAAGUACUAUUAACUAAGAAUUUGAAGAACAAUCAAUUGAAUGGCCCUAUCCCUUCAACAUUAACACAGAUUCCCAACCUCAAAACUUUAUAUCCGAAUUCCCUACUUCGAUCGGAUGCAUUGGAGACCCAAAAUCUUCAAUGAGAUCAAAAUGGCAUUGUGAUUUGUGAAUAAGGUACUUGCAAGUCCAAGGAAAAAUCAAACACUAAAUUUUCAUUAUUGAUGAGUUUGAUUUUUAACUUUUGCAUUUGAUUCAUUGUUUCUAGAUUAAUAGAUGUUCAUUUAGGUGAUUUUUGUUUAGUUAGUUCAGUUUAUAGUUAUAGUAAAUUUUGAAAAUAUUUCUCUCUUAUGUUUGGUUAGAAUGGUUUAGAUAAUCCCAACUAAAAAGUGAAGGGUUGAGAUUUUUUUCACUCUCUCACUGUUCCCAUUUCUUCUUUUUCAUCAUACCUCUUCUAUCU